GUCUAUGGCCAUGCCAUCAUGAACAUACCAAUCUUGUCUAAUCUCAGAAGCUAAGCAGGGUCAGGCCUGGUUAGUACUUGGAUGGGAGACCACCUACGAAGACCAGGUGCUGUUGGUG
rnacentral:rRNA from 1 species